rnacentral:rRNA from 1 species
GUUCUCAGUUCGGACUGUAGGCUGCAACUCGCCUACACGAAGUCGGAAUCGCUAGUAAUCGCGAAUCAGCAUGCCGCGGUGAAUACGUUCCCGGGCCUUGUACACACCGCCCGUCACACCAUGGGAGUUUGUAACGCCCAAAGUCGGUGGCCUAACCUUUAUGGAGGGAGCCGCCUAAGGCGGGACAGAUGACUGGGGUGAAGUCGUAACAAGGUACC